rnacentral:rRNA from 1 species
GGCUAAAUACUCCUGACUGACCGAUAGUGAACCAGUACCGUGAGGGAAAGGCGAAAAGAACCCCGGCGAGGGGAGUGAAAAAGAACCUGAAACCGUGUACGUACAAGCAGUGGGAGCACGCUUAGGCGUGUGACCGCGUACCUUUUGUAUAAUGGGUCAGCGACUUAUAUUCUGUAGCAAGGUUAACCGAAUAGGGGAGCCGAAGGGAAACCGAGUCUUAACUGGGCGUUAAGUUGCAGGGUAUAGACCCGAAACCCGGUGA